rnacentral:rRNA from 1 species
GAGUUUGAUCAUGGCUCAGGAUGAACGCUGGCGGCGUGCCUAAUACAUGCAAGUCGAGCGAACUGAUUAGAAGCUUGCUUCUAUGACGUUAGCGGCGGACGGGUGAGUAACACGUGGGCAACCUGCCUGUAAGACUGGGAUAACUUCGGGAAACCGAAGCUAAUACCGGAUAGGAUCUUCUCCUUCAUGGGAGAUGAUUGAAAGAUGGUUUCGGCUAUCACUUACAGAUGGGCCCGCGGUGCAUUAGCUAGUUGGUGAGGUAACGGCUCACCAAGGCAACGAUGCAUAGCCGACCUGAGAGGGUGAUCGGCCACACUGGGACUGAGACACGGCCCAGACUCCUACGGGAGGCAGCAGUAGGGAAUCUUCCGCAAUGGACGAAAGUCUGACGGAGCAACGCCGCGUGAGUGAUGAAGGCUUUCGGGUCGUAAAACUCUGUUGUUAGGGAAGAACAAGUACAAGAGUAACUGCUUGUACCUUGACGGUACCUAACCAGAAAGCCACGGCUAACUAC